AUGUUCUCUGUAGCUCUGCUGCUGCUGCUGCUGGCUGCUGGAUCCUGUGUGAAGUGCGAACAGUUGACACAGCCAGCGUCAGUGACUGUGCAACCAGGUCAACGUCUGACCAUCACCUGUCAGGUCUCUUAUUCUCUUGGCUAUUGGACAGCUUGGAUCAGACAGCCUGCAGGGAAAGGACUGGAGUGGAUUGGAAUGAAAGAUACUUCAGCUUCAUACUACAAAGAUUCACUAAAGAACAAGUUCAGUAUUGAUUUAGACUCUUCCAGCAACACAGUGACUCUAAAUGGACAGAAUAUGCAGCCUGAAGACACUGCUGUGUAUUACUGUGCCAGAGACCCACAAUAA